rnacentral:rRNA from 1 species
UUGCAUAGAUUGCCCGUGGCGCUUUAUGCGGCAGCUGACCUCCUGGGAAGUCAUUAGUCAAGCAGACCUUGUCCCUCGGUUAUCGUUUGUAAGGCUUAACAAAUGUACUGGUCCGACCGAGGUCCACUUCCCCUGAUAGCCGGCUCCAGCAAAUUCCAGCACACUCCCAAGUAAAGGUGAUACGUUCACGGGAAGUUUUCAGGGGGUAACUACCUUCCUUCCUGUAGGGUGACUGCGGAAGGAUUGUUUGCCCCGUUAAAAACUUUCCCGAUGACCGUAUCAACCCUUUUAGUUGGGGGUGUUGCUUGGCAUUUUGCUGAGCCGCGCCCUAUCAUGGCGAAUGUUUGGACUUCGGUCUGGGCUAGUAGCUUUUUGUUUUAAACCCUUUAACAAUACUGAUUAUACUGUGGGGACGAAAGUCUCUGCUUUUAACUAAAUAGCAACUUUCAGCAGUGGAUGUCUAGGCUCGCACAUCGAUGAAAAACGCUGCGAACUGCGAUACGUAAUGCGAAUUGCAGGAUUCAGUGAGUCAUCGAAAUUUUGAACGCAUAUUGCACUUCCGGGUUAAUCCUGGGAGUAUGCCUGUAUCAGUGUCCGUACAUCAAACUUGGCUUUCUUCCUUCCGUGUAAUCGGUGGAGGAUGUGCCAGAUGUGAAGUGUCUUGCGGUUUGUGUGCCUUCAGGCCGAGGCUGCGAGUCCUUUGAAAUGUACUGAACUGUACUUCUCUUUGCUCGAAAAGCGUGGUGAUGCUGGUUGUGGAGGCUGCCUGCGUGGCCAGUCGGCGACCGGUUUGUCUGCUGCGGCGUUUAAUGGAGGAGUGUUCGAUUCGCGGUAUGGUUGGCUUCGGCUGAACAGACGCUUAUUGUAUGCUUUUCCUGCUGUGGCGUGAUGGGCUGGUGAACCGUAUCUGUGUGUGGCUUGGCUUUUGAAUCAGCUUUGCUGUUGCGAAAUAAAGUGGCGGCUUCGGCUGUCGAGUGUCAAUCCAUUUUGGGAACUUUUGUGUGCGCUUUCGAGUGUGCAUCUCCAAUUGGAACCUGAUAUCAAGCAGAAUUACCCGCUGAACCUUAAGCCUAUCAUAAGCGAAGAACGCAGCUAAUAACUAGCCGUGAACGUAUCAUCUUUUAGUGGAGAGUAUGCCUGGACAUUUGCUGACCGGCUAUAGGGCAAAGCUGGACCUCGCCUGACUAAUACUUUGUUUACCCUUAAAUACUGAUUAACUGGGAGGACAAAGCUCUGGCUUUACUAAUUACUCCCAAGUGAAGCUAGCGCCACUAUAGAG